GCACACCAGUUUCACAAGUCUUUUAACGAACAGCACACAUUUUUAAUAGGUAUUGAAAAUAAGCGGCAAAUAUAAGAUUAUGCGAACAAGAAUGAAUUAUGGGUAACAAGAACUUCGAAAAUGUCGGAUAAUUUGAAAUAAAAAAUCUAAAGGUACUUGUAUAACAUCAUUCGCCGCGCUAGUUCCUACACAUAUCCGACAAAUAUUCAGCAAAUUUAGAAUUAUUAGUUCUAUUACCAAAUAAACCAAUAUACACCGCCA